GUUUAUCAAUACUAUUUAAUUUUAAGUCUUGAAUAAUACAGUAUCUUCUUCACCGUUUAUGCUACCUAUAUUGCUUCUGAAGCAGACUUACCAUGUGAUUGAAUAAAAGUAUACUAAUGUCUGAGGUGCUUGGAUUAAAAAAUAAAAAUCUAAUAAUCAGUAUGGGGUUCAAUUAGACUUCUACAGAAUAGAUGAAUCUUAUCCAUUGGUGCCUUCAAGGACUAGAGAUUUUAAAUAGAUGACAGUGAAGUUCAACAGAAAAGUACACAUAAGUAAAAAGUUCUGGUUUAAUAAACUAUAGUCUCAUUGUCAAGCCUUGCCCUGUCUCAGCACAUUAUUAUAGAAUGUUCAUUCAGGCAGGAAUUAAAAGAUGCAUCUGCAUUGAUAAUAACAACGAAUAAUUAAGAAAGCUUGACUGCAAUCUGCUUGAGGAUUCCAGUCUGAAGUGUGUUCCACUUGAUUACAACUGGGAAUUUCUUAAUUUCACAUUUAGAAUCAUUGCACCUCUUACUAAACACAUAGCUAAUCACCACUGAAAACCUAGAUACAGUUUCUUAAGUGUACAGACUAACUACAUGUUGAUUAACAUUCAGACAGAUUGUUCAUGUGUCCUUUUAGAAACUGGACUAUAGUAGAGUAAUAGGUAUAUAUUUGGGGAUAUUAGGAUAACAUGUGAUUAGCCUUUUAAGACAGCCCAAGCAGACCAGAUAAGUAGAUUGAACAGCUGAAUGGGUCAUCAGUGUUCAGAGACUUCACACAGUCAUCUGCAUGUUUAUGGACUUAGCCCCAGUCUGCUCUUUUUCAUGAAGGCAAGGAGGCCAAGAGAAGAUGGAUUGGCAUAGUUCUGGUACAAACAGGAACUGCAGGGUGACCACACCUAUAUAUACAAGGCUGUGCCUACAUAUAGUGACAGCAGGGUUUCGAUGUAAGCAAAUUCCCAAGGGACCUGAGCUAUGCCAGUUAUUUAUCACAUGUUUAAAUAAGCCUUGAAAGUCUAGGAUGUCUGUCACGUUCUGGAAUCCACACUGAUGAUGCAGUUGCUGUGUCAGAGCAGUUGGCAGAGUCACAGAGGGAACUAUGAAGUAGUUGGCCCAGGGAGCGUACAACAAGGCCUGCAGUGCUCAGCCAGCCCAGGCCAAAGGAGAGCACAGGACUGAGCAGAGGCAGAGGAGAGAGGGGAGGAAAGAGGGCAAAGAAGGAAAGGCCUGGGUCCUGGGCAGGGAAUCAGGGGCGGCUGUGAUGCAACAGACUGUGCGUCCUCCUCCUUUCUUUUUGAGUGCCAGAGGCCAAGAGGACAACGUGCCCAGACCUUGGAAUGCUCCCGUCUUACGCUGCUCAGAUGGAGAGGUGUUGCACAUUCAACAAGAACACUGAUACAAAGAUAAGUAAUCAAAAUAACACCAGCCUGAAUGUACUUGUAGGCAUCAGCUGCUGACCACAAACUUGGUGAUACCAUGGGCAUGGCAGAGCAAGUACAAUGUUGGCAUUUCCCUGUGUCACACAGGCACUGGAGACAUGGCCAGCAUUGGGAGAUCAUAAGAAUCUCCAGGCUAGAGGAGUGCAGAAUAGUGAGCUGAUGUUGAGAGGGACAGAUGAGAACAUGCCCGGACCAUGAAACCCUCCUGUCCUCUGCUGCUCAGCUGGAGAGAUGUUCCACCUUCCUCAAGGACACCGAUACAGAGAUAUGUAAUCAAAAUAAGUCCAGGCUGGCUGUACUUGUGGGCAUCAGCUGCUGGCAACUGCCUGGGUGAUGACAUGGGCCUGCCACAUCAGGCAGAACACAGAAAAUUGUCUAUGUCACACAAGCACUGGUGACAUGGCUGCCAUAGGGAGAUAGUAGAAAAGGCUGCACCCCUCUCCCAGCCCCGCCUAGAAAAGAGCAAAAUAUUGCGCAGUGACAAAAGUGAGAGAGUGGGACAGAUGUUUUGGAAAGGAAGGGCUGGGAGCUGGGCAUGGAGCCAGGGGAGGCUGUAAUGCUACAGAUUGUGUCUCCUCUUGUUUUGUCUUUGAGAGCCAGAGGCCUAGAAAAGAACGUACCCAGAUCUUGGAACCCUCCUGUCCUCUGCAGCUCAGAUGGAGAGAUGUCCCACCUUCUGCAAGGACAUCAGCACAAAGAUAUGUAAUCAAAUAAGUCCAGGCUGGCUGUACUUGUGGGCAUCAGCUGCUGGCAACUGCCUCUGUGCAGCCAUGAGCAUGGCACAGCAGGUGCAAUGUUGACAGUUCCCUGUGUCACACAGGCACUGGUGACUUGAAAGCUUAAGGGAGAUAAUCGAAAGAGCUGCACCCUUCUGCCAGAUUAGGCAAAGGUGAAUGUGAUGUUGUUUCAACGCUGCAAUGUGAUGGCAGGAAGGACUGUGAGGAAGGGAAAGGUGAGGGUUUGCCAUGGGCAGGGAAACACAUCUGGUUUUGAUGCUUUCUUUGUCUUUGAGUGUCAGAGGCCUAGAAGAGAACCUGCCCAGACCUUUGAAGACUCCUGUCCUCCGCUGCUCAUCUGGAGAGAUGUCCCACCUUCUACAAGGACAUCAGUACAAAGAUAUGUAAUCAAAAUAAGUCCAGGCUGGCUGUACCUGUGGGCAUCGGCUGUUGGCAUUUGCCUUGUUAAUGCCAUGGGCAUGGCAGAGCAGGUACAAUGUUGACAAUUCCCUGUGUCACACAGGCACUGAUGACUUGACAGCCAUAGGGAGGUAAUAGAAAGAGCUGCACCCUUCUGCCAGAUUAGGCAAAGGUGAGUGUGAUGUUGUUUCAAUGCUGCGAUGUGAUGGCAGGAAGGACUGUGAGGAGGGGAAAGGUGAGGAUUUGCCAUGGGCAGGUAAACACAUCUGGUUUUGAUGCUCUCUUUGUCUUUGAGUGCCAGUGGCCUAGAGGAGAAUGUGCCCAGAUCCUGGAACCUUCCUGUCCUCCAUUGCUCAUCUGGAGAGAUGUCUCACCUUCUACAAGGACAUCAGUACAAGGCUACGUAAUCAAAAUCAUAGCUGCCUGUUCGUGCUUUUAAGCAUCUGCACCACAGCCAGUGAUGCAUUUCUCAUGUCUUAUUGGGCAACUUAUUGAUUGUGGCUUAGUAACUUGGGUAGCAUAGGAGAAGUGUCCUCUGGCUGCCUUGAGAUAUGGAAUUGAUAGGCUUGAACUUCAGUAAGAUUUGCACUUGGGAAUGGAGGACUGCUUAUCCUUUUGUUGGUUCAUAUUAUCCUGUUUUUAAAACCACAGGCCCCUCCUGCCCACACCCUGCUUUGACACUCUGCCAUUGGUUUCUGCAGCCAUCUCUAAACACACAGACUUAAGAAGCAGGAAACAGCCUCAGCCUGUACCUCACCAUGCCCUCAGCUGGAAACUCCCCAUAGCUCUGGACAGAAGAUCUUCAUCACUUGGUCACAUUACAAUUUUAUGUUUCAUAAAUUUGUUGCCUGUAU